GUUCCUAGAAGGUUCCAUAGAAUAAAAUAGAAGAAAGAGGAACACUUCUAGAAGGUCUGAAGCCUAGAGCCUCAGAAUCUCAUCUGAUGUACUGGAGGGGCACACCGCUUAACUCCACAUCCACUGAGAUCUAUAGAGCCAGGACCCCAUUUGUGCCACAUUUACACUUUGGGAGACCUUGGCCUGGGGUCCCCGCAUGCCCAGGAGUUCUGUAAUGGUUGGUCUUCUUUGUCAAUUUCUCUGGAUUAGAAGCACCUAGGAAACAACACUGUGUGGAUUUAUAAAAGUGCAUUCAGAGAAGACUUACCCUGAAUAUGAGGGGACAGAAUCUCAUGUGCUGGGUUUUGUCAGGAUGAGAGGAAGGUGGGGAGAUGGAGCGUGGGCUCAUCGGGUAAGAAUUUGCAUUGCCCUUGCAGAGGACCUGAGUUCAGUUGCCAACACUCACAACUGGGCCCUGUACAACCACCACCUUCUGGCUCCAGGGGGGUCCUACAUUCUUUUUCUGCCUUCUAGGGGAAGAUUGCACUCACCUGUACAAACUCAAACAGACACAACGCGAACAUGUAGUUACACAAUCACAUUUUUUUAAGGGAAGGUGAGUUGAGCAUUCCUUUGUUUCUUACCUGUCUGGAAACAAUGUAACCAGCUGCCUCAGACUCCCGCUGGCAUGCUUGCCUUGCUGUGGCAGACUGCAUCUCUUCUUGGUUCCUUCCUUAAAUUGUCUCUUGUCAGGCAUUUGACACAACAUCCGGAAAACACACCAGCUAAAGAAUUGCUGUUUCAGCCCACGUUGCUGAUUAGAAUCAGCUGAACAGCACAAAUGAAAUCUUCACCUUUAGAAAAAAAAAAUGCUUCACCGUUGUGUAACUCAGAUUGCAGAGGCUUGGAGUGGUUCAAUCGCACGACCCAGCAGAGGGAAGCACAGACAGCAGCCUAGCAUAACUGUUUUCUGAGAGGCUCCACCCAUCAGCUGACUGAAACAGAUGCAGUGACCCACAACCAAAUAUUAGAGGGAGUUUGGAAGGAGACUCCACAGGAAGACCAACAGAGUCAACUAACCUGAACCCUUGGAAGCUCCCAGAAAUCGGACCACCAACCAAAGAGCAUACACAGGCUGGACCUAGGCUUCCCACUCAUAUGUUACUGUGGGGAGUGGGUGUGGCGGUUAUCCCAAGAUGGUGCCCGGGACUGUAGCCAAGUCUAAUGACUUGCACCUGACUUCCUCAUACACCUGAAAAUAAGGCACGUCCAUCGUGAGAGCUGCGCAGGCCCACCAUGAUGCAAGAUCAGGCCAUUUGAUGAAGGCCAAUGAACUGAGAUUACGCGGACUGGGCUGAUGGGGCGUGGUUGAGGGGUUAUAUAAGGGAUUGCGAUUGGGGCUAGAGGAGAUUCCUGCUUGCAUGUUGAAAGCUUCCUGAAUAAACUGCUUUGAGAAGAACGCUGUGUCGUCACUCUUUUUUGCUGGUCGGAGACAGAAG